AUUGUUUCUCGGUCUUUUGGCUAAGAUCAAGUGUAGCAUCUGUUCUUAUCAGAUUAAAAAUGCAAAUCGGAUCCUUUUGUCUCUCUGCUAAAAAUCUUACAAUGGCUUCUUACUCUUAAGGAAAGCUGAAAAUCC
ensembl:snRNA U2 U2 spliceosomal RNA